rnacentral:rRNA from 1 species
AACGCUGGCGGCGUGCUUAACACAUGCAAGUCGAACGAGGAAUUUUAAAUGAGACUUCGGUGGAUUUUGAAAUUCUUAGUGGCGGACGGGUGAGUAACGCGUGGGCAACCUGCCCUGUACAGGGGGACAACAGCUGGAAACGGCUGCUAAUACCGCAUAAGCGCACAGCAUCGCAUGAUGCCGUGUGAAAAACUCCGGUGGUACAGGAUGGGCCCGCGUUGGAUUAGGUAGUUGGUGAGGUAACGGCCCACCAAGCCGACGAUCCAUAGCCGACCUGAGAGGGUGACCGGCCACAUUGGGACUGAGACACGGCCCAAACUCCUACGGGAGGCAGCAGUGGGGAAUAUUGCACAAUGGGGGAAACCCUGAUGCAGCGACGCCGCGUGAGCGAAGAAGUAUUUCGGUAUGUAAAGCUCUAUCAGCAGGGAAGAAAAUGACGGUACCUGACUAAGAAGCCCCGGCUAACUACGUGCCAGCAGCCGCGGUAAUACGUAGGGGGCAAGCGUUAUCCGGAUUUACUGGGUGUAAAGAGAGCAGGCGGCACUAAGGGUCUGUGGUGAAAGAUCGAAGCUUAACUUCGGUAAGCCAUGGAAACCGUAGAGCUAGAGUGUGUGAGAGGAUCGUGGAAUUCCAUGUGUAGCGGUGAAAUGCGUAGAUAUAUGGAGGAACACCAGUGGCGAAGGCGACGAUCUGGCGCAUAACUGACGCUCAGUCCCGAAAGCGUGGGGAGCAAAUAGGAUUAGAUACCCUAGUAGUCCACGCCGUAAACGAUGAGUACUAAGUGUUGGGGGUCAAACCUCAGUGCUGCAGUUAACGCAAUAAGUACUCCGCCUGAGUAGUACGUUCGCAAGAAUGAAACUCAAAGGAAUUGACGGGGGCCCGCACAAGCGGUGGAGCAUGUGGUUUAAUUCGAAGCAACGCGAAGAACCUUACCAGGUCUUGACAUCGAUCUAAAGGCUCCAGAGAUGGAGAGAUAGCUAUAGAGAAGACAGGUGGUGCAUGGUUGUCGUCAGCUCGUGUCGUGAGAUGUUGGGUUAAGUCCCGCAACGAGCGCAACCCCUGUUGCCAGUUGCCAGCAUUAAGUUGGGGACUCUGGCGAGACUGCCGGUGACAAGCCGGAGGAAGGCGGGGAUGACGUCAAAUCAUCAUGCCCCUUAUGACCUGGGCUACACACGUGCUACAAUGGACAGAGCAGAGGGAAGCGAAGCCGCGAGGUGGAGCGAAACCCAUAAAACUGUUCUCAGUUCGGACUGCAGUCUGCAACUCGACUGCACGAAGAUGGAAUCGCUAGUAAUCGCGAAUCAGCAUGUCGCGGUGAAUACGUUCUCGGGCCUUGUACACACCGCCCGUCACACCAUGAGAGUCGGUAACACCCGAAGCCGGUGGCCUAACCGCAAGGAAGGAGCUGUCUAAGGUGGGACUGAUGAUUGGGGUGAAGUCGGAACAAGGUA